rnacentral:rRNA from 1 species
GGUCUCCUACGGGGGGCAGCAGUGAGGAAUAUUGGUCAAUGGCCGAGAGGCUGAACCAGCCAAGUCGCGUGAGGGAUGACGGCCCUACGGGUUGUAAACCUCUUUUGUCGGGGAGCAAGACCCGCCUCGUGCAGGCGGAGCGAGAGUACCCGAAGAAAGAGCAUCGGCUAACUCCGUGCCAGCAGCCGCGGUAAUACGGAGGAUGCGAGCGUUAUCCGGAUUUAUUGGGUUUAAAGGGUGCGCAGGCGGACCAUCAAGUCAGCGGUAAAAUGUCCGGGCUCAACCCGGGCCGGCCGUUGAAACUG